AGUUUGUUCUGCAGCAGCACGACAAUCCACUCUCUAAGAAGCUCAAUGAUAUCAUUAAUGAAAUUAGACGCCAAAGGUGUAACUACCUCCGCUUAAAACUAUGCAAAAAAGGAGAUUCAUCAGGUAUGUUGUUUUUCUCCAACAUGGUAGAAGACAAGACAUCCAUUGGACUUCCGUAUGUCGAGUUUCUGGUACAUAUCCAUCGGCAUAUUCAAAGCAAAAUGGCUUGAGAAAAUUUCCAGUUUUGUUCAUAAAUUUUGAUUAUAAAGAAGGGGUUACAGAUGUGGCUUCAAGUUGAACAAGGUGCAGAUAAUUGGUUUUACCUGUACCCCUUGAAUGGCCCCAUUCAUGAUAUUAUUAGGAUAGCAGCACAGUUUAGAUGUCAGAGAGGUUUCAUGGUUUUAUUGAGACAUUGUAGAGAACAUUUGAAAAUGAAUGAACAAAAAGCAUGGUCUCUUGUUUUUCGGUGUC